rnacentral:rRNA from 1 species
CACGUAGUUAGCCGGGGCUUUCUGCUCAAGUACUGUCAACACAUGAAUCUAUUCGACUCAUGUGAGUUCAUUCUUGAGAACAGAGCUUUACAAUCCGAAGACCGUCAUCACUCACGCGGCGUUGCUCCGUCAGGCUUGCGCCCAUUGCGGAAAAUUCCCUACUGCUGCCUCCCGUAGGAGUCUGGGCCGUGUCUCAGUCCCAGUGUGGCCGAUCACCCCCUCUCAGGUCGGCUACGCAUCGUCGCCUUGGUAGGCCGUUACCCCACCAACAAGCUAAUGCGACGCGGGCCCAUCUACUAGUGAUAGCCGAAGCCAUCUUUCCCCCUCUUCCUCAUGCGAGGAAGAGGAAUAUCCGGUAUUAGCUCCGGUUUCCCGGAGUUACUCCCAGGCUAAUAGGUAGGUUGCCCACGUGUUACUCACCCGUUCGCCGCUCGAUCCACACCCGGAGUGCUUCUCGCGCUCGACUGCAUGUAUUAGGCACGCCGCCAGCGUCGUCCG